rnacentral:tRNA from 1 species
CGGGAAGUAGCUUAGCUUGGUAGAGCGCCACGUUCGGGACGUGGAGGUCGCAGGUUCAAAUCCUGUCUCCCCGA